CACAGCCUGCGCUGCCCAGCUGAGGUGGGAGGGCUGCAGGCAUCGCUCCUGCAAAGGCCCAUAUGUUGUUACAGCAGGAGAUAUAGACAUUAGACAUGGAGCUAAGCAUCCGAGCGGAGACAAGGCACUCACAUGGUCUGCACUCCUGUAUCUGAGAUUGGUGUCUGAUGGUGUUCUUGGAAAGUCUGCAAAAGUCCCGUCUUCCGUGGAGUCCUGUCCCAACGGGCUGCUCAAUUUCAUUCUGUGUAACUCCCACCAAGAGUCUCCGUGAAGCUUACUUGACCAACUUGAGGACCAGCUCUCCCUGGAGGGGACGUGACUGGCUUACGUUACUCCUCCCUUUCUGGGAAGGUCCACAUAUACCCGCAACUCCGAACACCUGCUGAUCACGCAUCCUUCCUGGUCAAAGGUUCAUGCUAAUACGUUCAUGGACCAUAAAGCCUAGUGAGGGUGUUUUUCCCCUCCCCGGGCUGCUGUGGAAAGAUAAAGGCGGCCUAGGACUCCAGCUCAGAUGCAGUGACAGGCGGACUUCCCAGCUGUCCCAGGAGCAUGAGAGAGAGAGACAGGAGGGGUGCCCUACGGGGAACGCCGUCCCUUCUUCAGCAUUAAGUGGCACUGGAUGGUCUGGAUU